UACGAAGGGGGCUAGCGUUGCUCGGAAUUACUGGGCGUAAAGGGCGCGUAGGCGGACAGUUAAGUCGGGGGUGAAAGCCCGGGGCUCAACCUCGGAAUUGCCUUCGAUACUGGCUGUCUUGAGUGCGGGAGAGGUGUGUGGAACUCCGAGUGUAGAGGUGAAAUUCGUAGAUAUUCGGAAGAACACCAGUGGCGAAGGCGACACACUGGCCCGUGACUGACGCUGAGGCGCGAAAGCGUGGGGAGCAAACAGG
rnacentral:rRNA from 1 species